CUGGGAUGUUACAGCGUGGCUGCUCCCUUCUGCUGGAGCACAUUAAGUCUCUUCACGCAGCAGAAUGAAUACGGGGAUAAAGGAGGAGGCUCGGGUCGCAAACAAUGUGGCACCGAUGCAGAGGGAGCGCGGAGCGGAAGGGACGGGGGAGUCUUCUCAAACUUUCGGAUGAGAGUCAGCAUUUUUCGGAGGGAGGGCACAGAUUGCAAGGAUUUCCUCAAGCGUCUGUCUCGGUGGAACGCUCCCCGUCCCCCGUGCAGAGGAGAGCAGCAGGAAGACGAGGACAGAAACCGGCUGAAACUCCCUUGACGGGAAAAACUCUUUUGAGGCUCCACCGGACGCUCAAUACGUUACAGGGAUGUUUCAUCAGCAUCAAUGUCGUCAAUUACUUUUUGAAACUAAAUUUCAAACUGUAGACAGCGGCAUGUUUUAUUUUUGCUCAGCUAUAGAAUGUUGAAGGUUUUGGUGUAUUUUCUUCUUUCUUCUAAUAAUUCCAUACAUGAAAAAGCCCUUAUUUGUCAAUUGAGGUAAAUUGUAUAUUUACUGGCAGGUACUGAGGAGCCGUGCGGUUACUAACACUGCACUGACCUUGGCUCAUGACAAAACAUCUUUAUGUAAGCUCACAUAAGUGUGUUGUUCGCGCAGGUAAAAUGCAAAGAGCAGCUGUGCCCUCUGAGAAGCUACUCAAGCUACUGCUUGAUUCACAUUAUGACCAAUUUGACUGUCUGUAUUUUCCUCUUGCCAACAUUGUAAAGUGUUUAUAAGGCAUCGAUGUGUGCGUGAACAUUGAACAUUAAUGUAAGUUGACAAACACUCUGCUUUCAUUUAGUAUUGGUGAUCAAAUCACAGCUUUAGGAACGGAUGCUUGCUCAGAUGAGCGAACUGCUUCGUCUAAUCACCUUCCAUCUCCUCUGCAAUAGGACACUCCAGUACCUCCGUGUCUCCUCUCGUCUUCUCUCUCUGAAGGUCUGAACGCCGACUCACGCUGUUGAUUGCAGAAGAGAUGCACAUCACGUACCAGACUGAAUGCAAUUUUAAAUGUGUCAUAUUUUUUUUACUUCAAAUGGACAAUUCUGGUCCUUUUAUGCAUAUUUACCUGCAAUUUAGUGUCACAUAUUUUUCACCUCUGCAAUUUGCAUUCAUGUUUGAUAUAAUUGCUUGAAGUUGAUGAUUUGAAUUACUACUAAUGGACCCGCAAAAGGAUCUGUACGGUUAAGGAGGUAAAACACUCACUUAUUCUUAAAUGAACAUUUAAGGCAAAGCAUUUAAUAUGUUGGCAUUCAGAGCCGACAGUUUAUAAACACUUCUGUUAUCGACUUUGAUUGCGUUUAAGGUCAAAGCAGUGCAACUAAAUCCUGAUGUGAGGAUGUGAGGUUCUUAAUGGAACAAUAUGGAUAUUAUUGUGACUUUUCCACAUGUGACCUUUGAAUAUUAUUAUUCCUUCACUUUAAAACCAC
ensembl:lncRNA